AAAAGAGGACGUGUACAGUAUGUGGAACCGCGUUGGUUGGGAAUUUUGGAGAGCUGCGCGUCCCUGCGGAUGCUGUUCGAGCCACAUUGCUGCUCCUACCUCAUCAUCUUGGCCUUUUCCAUGUCUGGCUUCUAGGAAAUUCCAUAACAAUUGGAUUGGCUAGCAAGUUGAGCUGAGCUCUUGUGGUCCAUUCAACAGGAGCAGAUGUGGAGCUCUGCACUCAGUCCAUCAGCGUCAGGCAGAGGUGUGUCUGGACCUUAGAGUUUGUAGUGGUAUUAGAGGCUGUGUGUAUUAUCCAUGUGCUUGGUCAAUGGCCUGUCCUGCUUAUCUACCUGCAGUGGGCCUGCACAGCCUGCAGCUGAAGAGCAGCUCAGCAUGGUCAUUUCUGCAUGGUCAUUUCUCUUCACAUA